rnacentral:rRNA from 1 species
AUUGAACGCUGGCGGCAGGCCUAACACAUGCAAGUCGAACGAGUGGCGGACGGGUGAGUAAUGUCUGGGAAAGUGCCUGAUGGAGGGGGAUAACUACUGGAAACGGUAGCUAAUACCGCAUACCCUAGGAUGUGCCUAGAUGGGAUUAGCUAGUAGGUGGGGUAAAGGGUCACCUAGUCGACGAUCCCUAGCUGGUCUGAGAGGAUGACCAGCCACACUGGAACUGAGACACGGUCCAGACUCCUACGGUAGGCAGCAGUGGGGAAUAUUGCACAAUGGGCGCAAGCCUGAUGCAGCCAUGCCGCGUGUAUGAAGAAGGCCUUCGGGUUGUAAAGUACUUUCAGCGGGGAGGCGUUACCCGCAGAAGAAGCACCGGCUAACUCCGUGCCAGCAGCCGCGGUAAUUC